GAUGAAGAACGUAGCGAAAUGCGAUAAGUAAUGUGAAUUGCAGAAUUCAGUGAAUCAUCGAAUCUUUGAACGCACAUUGCGCCCGCCAGCAUUCUGGCGGGCAUGCCUGUUCGAGCGUCAUUUCAACCCUCGACCUCCCCUUGGGGAAGUCGGCGUUGGGGACCGGCAGCAUACCGCCGGCCCCGAAAUGGAGUGGCGGCCCGUCCGCGGCGACCUCUGCGUAGUAAUCCAACUCGCACCGGAACCCCGACGUGGCCACGCCGUAAAACCCCCGACUUCUGAACGUUGACCUCGGAUCAGGUAGGAAUACCCGCUGAACUUAAGCAUAUCAAUAAGCGGAGGA
rnacentral:misc_RNA from 1 species